rnacentral:rRNA from 1 species
AGGUACCCGUACCGCAAACGGACACACGUAGUCGGGUUGAAUAUACUAAGGCGCUUGAGUGAUUCACGGUUAAGGAACUAGGCAAAUUGACCCUGUAACUUCGGGAUAAAGGGUCCCAACGAGAGUUGGGCGCAGAGAAUAGGUCCAGGCAACUGUUUAACAAAAACACAGGGCUGUGCAAAAUUGAAAGAUGAAGUAUACAGCCUGACACCUGCCCGGUGCUGGAAGGUUAAGAGGAGAUGUCAUCGCAAGAGAAGCAUUGAAUUGAAGCCCCAGUAAACGGCGGCCGUAACUAUAACGGUCCUAAGGUAGCGAAAUUCCUUGUCGGGUAAGUUCCGACCCGCACGAAUGGUGUAACGAUCUGGGCACUGUCUCAACUACCCGCCCGGCGAAAUUGUAGUACCGGUGAAGAUGCCGGUUACCCGCGACAAGACGGAAAGACCCCAUGGAGCUUUACUGUAGCUUGAUAUUGGGUUUCGGUAAUUUAUGUACAGGAUAGGCGGGAGACUAGGAAGCCAGUACGCCAGUAUUGGUGGAGUCGUCCUUGGGAUACCGCUCUUAAGUUGCUGGAAUUCUAACCUGCGGCCGUGAAUCCGGCCGGGGGACAUUGUCAGGUGGGCAGUUUGACUGGGGCGGUCGCCUCCAAAAGAGUAACGGAGGCGCUCAAAGGUUCGCUCAGCACGGACGGAAACCGUGCUUUUGAGUGUAAACGCAGAAGCGAGCCUGACUGCGAGGGUGACGGCCCGAGCAGAAACGAAAGUUGGAGUUAGUGAUCCGGCGGUAUGUGAAUGGAAAUGCCGUCGCUCAACGGAUAAAAGCUACCCUGGGGAUAACAGGCUGAUCUCCCCCAAGAGUUCACAUCGACGGGGAGGUUUGGCACCUCGAUGUCGGCUCAUCGCAUCCUGGGGCUGAAGUAGGUCCCAAGGGUUGGGCUGUUCGCCCAUUAAAGCGGUACGCGAGCUGGGUUCAGAACGUCGUGAGACAGUUCGGUCCCUAUCUGUCGUGGGCGCAGGAUAUUUGAGGAGCUCUGUCCUUAGUACGAGAGGACCGGGAUGGACGCACCGCUGGUGCACCAGUUGUCACGCCAGUGGCACAGCUGGGCAGCUAAGUGCGGAUCGGAUAAACGCUGAAAGCAUCUAAGCGUGAAGCCGGCUCCAAGAUAAGAUAUCCCAUUCCGUAAGGAAGUAAGACCCCUUGAAGACUACAAGGUUGAUAGGCUGCGUGUGUAAGCGCCGCGAGGCGUUCAGCUUGGCAGUACUAAUAGGUCGAGGGCUUGACCUU